rnacentral:rRNA from 1 species
GCUUAACCGUGGAGGGUCAUUGGAAACUGGAGGACUUGAGUGCAGAAGAGGAGAGUGGAAUUCCAUGUGUAGCGGUGAAAUGCGUAGAGAUAUGGAGGAACACCAGUGGCGAAGGCGACUCUCUGAUCUGUAACUGACGCUGAGGAGCGAAAGCGUGGGUAGCGAACAGGAUUAGAUACCCUGGUAGUCCACGCCGUAAACGAUGAGUGCUAGGUGUUAGGGGGUUUCCGCCCCUUAGUGCUGAAGUUAACGCAUUAAGCACUCCGCCUGGGGAGUACGGCCGCAAGGCUGAAACUCAAAAGAAUUGACGGGGACCCGCACAAGCGGUGGAGCAUGUGGUUUAAUUCGAAGCAACGCGAAGAACCUUACCAGGUCUUGACAUCCUUUCGACCUCCCUAGAGAUAGGGAUUUCCCUUCGGGGACGAAAGUGACAGGUGGUGCAUGGUUGUCGUCAGCUCGUGUCGUGAGAUGUUGGGUUAAGUCCCGCAACGAGCGCAACCCUUGAUCUUAGUUGCCAGCAUUAAGUUGGGCACUCUAAGGUGACUGCCGGUGACAAACCGGAGGAAGGUGGGGAUGACGUCAAAUCAUCAUGCCCCUUAUGACCUGGGCUACACACGUGCUACAAUGGAUGGUACAAAG